AGAGUUUGAUCCUGGCUCAGAUUGAACGCUGGCGGCAGGCUUAACACAUGCAAGUCGAGCGGAGAUGAGGUGCUUGCACCUUAUCUUAGCGGCGGACGGGUGAGUAAUGCUUAGGAAUCUGCCAUUUAGUGGGGGACAACAUUCCGAAAGGAAUGCUAAUACCGCAUACGUCCUACGGGAGAAAGCAGGGGAUCUUCGGACCUUGCGCUAAAUGAUGAGCCUAAGUCGGAUUAGCUAGUUGGUGGGGUAAAGGCCUACCAAGGCGACGAUCUGUAGCGGGUCUGAGAGGAUGAUCCGCCACACUGGGACUGAGACACGGCCCAGACUCCUACGGGAGGCAGCAGUGGGGAAUAUUGGACAAUGGGCGGAAGCCUGAUCCAGCCAUGCCGCGUGUGUGAAGAAGGCCUUUUGGUUGUAAAGCACUUUAAGCGAGGAGGAGGCUACUAGUACUAAUACUACUGGAUAGUGGACGUUACUCGCAGA
rnacentral:rRNA from 1 species